UGUGCCAUGUUCGGGUCUCGUCCAAACAUAAUAUGUGACUCACUUCUUACAGCUCUGUUAUUUAGCUUGGGUAAUUUACACCCUGAUAUAUCUUACAGUGAAAACUGUCUAAAAGAUAAGACUAUACAUACACACGAACUGACUGCAGUUCUAGUAUUCAUUGUGCACUUUUUAUCAUGACACGCGAUUACCUCCAGAGAUCGUUAACGGUACCACAUGUGUGGAUGUUCUAAACAUCCCUAUCCGAUGCGCAUGAAGUUUCUAUGGCUAUGCACGUGAAGUGGUCCGUGCAUAUGAGCAUGUUGCUCUUUCUUUUUGGUACAGUUACAGCAAGUCGUCCAUUUCCUGGAAUUGUUCUAGGGAAAUCUAUAGAUUUCAGAUUGAAUAAGAAUUGGCGCCCCCAAAACACGCACCACCAGGGGACCAAUCCCGCUUUUUCAAGGGACGUAACUGAUGAUGAAGAUCUGAUAAUCGAAGGCAGUGGCAGUGAAACUGAUCAAAACGGAUUACAUUCCUUAGCAGCUACACACAUGUCAUGCUGUUCUAUUGGUUAUGCGUUUGGGAAAAAUGGAAUUCAUUGCAAUGCAGAAUUACAUUACAAUAGACUAGCAGCAGUCCCUGUGGGUGAAAAGAAUAGGUAUGGGCAAAGGUUAAAGGCGCAUCUAAAAAAACAUGGGACCGAUAUAAAAGUGACUGUGUUCAACAAAUGUUUUGAGAGGCGACCCGGUGAAUUUCAUAAGUGUUGCUAUGUGGGUAAAAAAGAAAAGGAAAUGACAACACGGUGGCAAAGAAACAGAAGAAUUGUAUAUGCUAGCGAUAAACGAUAUAUAUCGUGGCGAUUUGUAAAGGGGUAGUACAUAUUAUAUUGUUGAAGUAUAGAGGAAGUGUUGUCUCAUGCUGAUAGAUUCUCAGGGAAGAAAUGUGGAUUUUAAGGUGUUUAUUUGAAUUACAGUGUGUAUUCAGUAUCACAACGGGUUACAACCAUAACUGGUUAGUGUUUUCAGACAGAUUCAUUUUUCAGAACAGGGAUCAGUUAUUACUGGAAACCGAAAUCGUAGGCGGAGGGAGGGGGCGGGAACGUGUCCAUGCCUCUAAUAUAUACGUUCUAUAAAUGAACUGAAGAACUAGCCCCUGGACUGAACUUUUAAAAUUUUACCACUUACCUCUUUUUAUUUGGUUUGUGGAAUACACCAGAAACAAACAUUCCUUUAACAAGGAGGGAAUUAUAUCGCUGGUGAAAUAUACCGUUAGGUGUUUAUAUGUUUUAAAGUGAUGUUUUUUAGAUAUUGUUAUUUUUUGUCAGGAAUAUUGAUAUUGCUACCUCAUGUAUUGUAGUUCAAAUGUUAAUGUAAACCGUGCUUUGUCAUCCAUGUAUUGCUCCUAUUGUUGGUAUUAUGAAGUUUAUUUGUAUUUAAUUUGUAUAUAUUUGAUGUGAUAAUGUAUUUAUAAAUGUCUAAA